UAAUACGUAGGGGGCAAGCGUUGUCCGGAAUUACUGGGCGUAAAGGGCACGCAGGCGGUAUAAUAAGUCAGAUGUGAAAGUUUACAGCUUAACUGUGAAAGUGCAUUUGAAACUGAUAUACUUGAGUCUCGGAGAGGUAAGCGGAAUUCCUAGUGUAGCGGUGAAAUGCGUAGAUAUUAGGAGGAACACCGGUGGCGAAGGCGGCUUACUGGACGAGUACUGACGCUCAUGUGCGAAAGCGUGGGGAGCAAACAGG
rnacentral:rRNA from 1 species